AGGCAGGCCUGUUGGUGGUUUUGUGGUUCUGUUUAUAGAAACUAAAUCCUGUUAUAUUGCGCAAUGAUAAGUGAAUUUGCAAGAUCUUGUGGGUCCCCGUGACUUUAGCUGUCACUCAUGGU